rnacentral:ribozyme from 1 species
AGCAACAGCAUCAAAACCAGUACCAAGAACAGGAACAGGUGAUGUAGUAGCAGUACGACGUGAACCUGAGCGGCAGAUGAUGUAGUAGCAGUACGACGUGGAUCCGGACGAUCACGAUCAACACCACGAUCAGUAACAGCAUCAAAACCAGCAUCAAGAACAGCAACAGGUGAUGUAGUAGCAGUACGACGUGAACCUGAGCGCCCACACA